UACGAAGGGUGCAAGCGUUAAUCGGAAUUACUGGGCGUAAAGCGCGCGUAGGUGGUUCAGUAAGUUGAAUGUGAAAGCCCCGGGCUCAACCUGGGAACUGCAUCCAAAACUGCUGAGCUAGAGUAUGGUAGAGGGUAGUGGAAUUUCCUGUGUAGCGGUGAAAUGCGUAGAUAUAGGAAGGAACACCAGUGGCGAAGGCG
rnacentral:rRNA from 1 species